AUGGAUGGAUGAUAAAUAAUUAAAAGAAGAAAAUGGAGAGGAAAAGCUUAUUUAAGAGACGCUAGCAAUCUUUGAGGAGUGGGCUUUGCUGGUUCUCUGCUCCCAGUGGGGGAGAGAACUGGCUUCUUUCCCUCCCUCUGGUGAGGACUCUCAGGAUGUAGGUUCACGGAAAUAUUUACUGUCUAUCCGUCAUGGCCUUGAGGAAAGAGGCAAUGGUUAGAUGGAGGAGAUCCUGUCUGGAAAUCUGGAGCCUCUUGGGUAUAUAAGUGCCCCGUUACCCCAGCCACAAGGCCAAAAGGCCCUGUGGAAGGUGACAGGACCUCAGCAUAAAUCCUGAUGGCUUCAGGGUCUUGCCCAGAAUAUAAAUUGGUUCUGUAAGGGGCCCAGUGCUUUCUUACUUUCCUAUCAGUAUGCACACAUAAGAAUCCACAUUUGCAAGACUGACUUCCUCUCUACGGAAGAGAGGUCUGAUGUCACUUGGACCUUAGUGACCACAAAGGAAUCUGCACCUCUUGAGAGCCCUUGGGGCCUGUCUUUCCAGCAAGAAUCAUUCUUCCUCCACAGUUCACUAGCUCCUGCUAUGAAUUUCUGUCCCAGGAGGAAAGGGGGUCAUGUGACCUGCCAUGUCUGGAGAGACAUUAACUGAGUCUUUAUGCCUGGGCUACGGAAACCCAGGUGCAACAUGGGACCCAGCAAACCUUGCACAGUCCUCCCUCACAGGGAGAGAAAACUUGUACUGCUGCUGCUGUCAUCCAUCAAGGGAGGCCUCAUGGACAACAGGACAUGUGGGCAGGUCAGGCCCGGAUGGCCUGGCACGCUGACUUCAUCUCUGCCCAGAUGUACAGUUUCCCUCUGACAUUAAAUAUCCUUCACCGAGGUUUCUCUCCCUCUCCUUAUUUGAACACACAAUUAUCUUUCAUGAGUUUCCUUUUAUAUUUUAUUUUAUUUUGGGUGCUAGGAUGGAACCCCAGCCCCUUGUGCAUGCUAGGCAAGUGUGCUACCACUGAGCCAUACUCCCAGCCCAAGAUAGGUCAUUUCUUAAGAGAUUAAUGUUACCCUUAUUUCUCUGAUUAUUGCUUUUCUCACUAUUUUGUGCAAAUCUCUUCCAAUGGUAUGGUUCAAUGUCAUUUUUUCUUUCUUUCUCUCUCUCUCUCUCUUUUUUCUUUUUCUGUGGUGUUGGGGAUCUACCACAGGGCCAUAUGCAUGCUAGGCAAGGGCUGUACCAAUGAGCAGCACCCCCCAUCUUCUUUGAGUUUUGAUUUGAGUUUUAAAACCCUGCUGCAUUGUGAAAGAGGGUAAGGAAAUUGAGACUUUUUAGAAUUCUAGUCUGGCGAUUGUAGAGAGGGAGAGUAUUGUGAGAAUUAAAUAAGGUACUACAUUAAAGGACUCUCCCCCAGGGCUAGCACAAAGGUAAACAAUCAAUGGUAGCCAUUACUGUUACUGUUAUGAACAAAAGAAUUCUAAGAUGUUAGCAUAUGCCUUCCUGUAUACCUACCUUUUUCUCUCCUUGCAUUUUGCAACCUCCUGAGUUAAUGCUGGUGUGUUUGCAGAUUUUUGGUUAAGCCCUGGCAGCCAGGAGGCUCUAUUUAGCCUUCUUUUUGUUGCUAUCUUCAGCUUGGGACCCCAGUAUCUAGGACCUGGAAAGAGAGAAAGAAAGAAAGAAAGACAGAGCUUAGGGAUGAAGCUACAGAGAUACUAUUAUUCUAAAAACAAAGGGAUGUGGCUCAAUGGUAGAGUGCUUGCUUAGUAUGCAUUAAGCCCUGGGUUCUAUCCUCAGCACCACUAAAAUUAAAUAAAUAAGAGAGCAAGGAGUUAUUGAGAAGGACAGGCUGCCCUGAAUUAACCAGCCUGCAGGUGAUCUAGAAACUAUAUAAAUAUCCAUUUCCUUCCAGAAAAGUUUAUUUCUGGGGAAAUAAUGGAAUUAAGGAAUUAAGUUGGGUUUUAAUGAGCAAAUGAUAUUGCAAAACUGUAACGAUUUUCCUUAAGAUAUACAUGGCCACACAGGCCACUUGUGUCUGUGGUAGCUGAAGAGGGACCAAAUGACUGGCCAACAAAGGGUUAUUUUACCUGGAACUCACACUGUUAUUCAGAUUCCUUUGGUCCACCUUUUCAUGGUGACCAUCCAUAAAAGAAAGUGAUUGAAGUCAGCUGGUCUACAAAAGAUCCAAAUUAUGCCCGAGCUUCAUUAAUAGCCUUUUAAUCAUCUUAACCAUAUUUAAACAUAAGUAACCAGUCACUUAUCAACCACAAUAAUAAGGCUCUUGAAACACUUUUGUGUGUGUGUGUGUGUGCACGCGCGUUCGUGCUGGGGAUUGAACCCAGGACUUUGUAACAUGAUGAGCACAUGCUCUACCACGGAAUUACAAACCCCCAGACACAUGUUAUUCUUUCCUUUAUCACUGUUCUAGAGUUCUGGGGAGUUCCUUAUAUCAAGUGCUCAAAGUACUUAGGAGUUGAAAUCCAAGUCAUCCUUACAAAUACUGGAAAAUUAGUUGGCAGUGACUUGUCUACAGUCCUUGAAAGUCAUUUCCAUGUUCACAGAAAUUCAUUUUUAAAUUUAUUUUUUUCUGGUACUGGGGAUUGAACCCAGGGGCACUUUACCACUGAACCACACACAUAUCCCCAGAUUUUUUAAAUUUUUAUUUUUGAAACAGUCUUAGUAAGUUACUGAGGCUGGUCUUAAAUUUGCAAUCCUCCUGCUUUGGCCUUCUGAGUCACUAGGAUUCCAGGCAUGGGCCACCAUGCCUGACUGAAAAGUCCCAUAUAAAAUAUGGAGGUAUUUCUACACAGUCAUGACAAGUGGGUGGAGUAAGUUGGUGUUCUCUUUUUGACAUGGGAGGAAGUCAUAUAUGCAAAUACCAGACUGCUGCAUCCUCUGACCUAUGAAUUUAUUGUCACAUGCUGGUGGAAUGGCAUCUGUCUGUGGAGUGACCAGUAAGGCAGCAGAAAUGUGGCUGACCAAGUUGGAAAAAAAUGAGUUCUGCCCAGAACCAUAGGUGGUUAGAGCAGGAAGGGGACAUGGAAAUUUGAGCUCUAGCCUCAGGGAUUCUGAAUAAGGACCUCUAUAUCUUGCACAGGGGCCAAACUUUACCAUGUUUAUAAAAACACAGAAUCCUAGGUAUCCAGCACCAGAAAUUUUAAUCCAGUUGUUCUAGGGCAGAGCCUGUCACUGCUACACCUUUCCUAAGAACCCGAGGGGAUCUUAUGUUGGUGUCCAAAGACUAUCACUGGAUUUCCAGUCAUUAAGAGCUAAGCCAGCGGGGCUGGGACUGUGGCUCAGCGGUAGAGCGCUUGUCUAGCACGUGCGAGGCCCUGGGUUAGAUCCUCAGCACCACAUAAACACAAAUAAAUAAAAUAAAGGAAUUGUGUCCAAUUACAACUAAAAUAUAAAUAUUAAAAAAAAAAGAGCUAAGCCAGGUGUGGUGGCACACAUCUGUAAUCCCAGCAGCUCAGGAGGCUGAGGCAGAAGGAUUGUGAGUUCAAAGCCAGCUUCAGUAACUUAGUGAGGCCCUAAGCAAUUUAGUGAGACCCGGUUUCAAAAUAAAAAAAUAAAAAGGGCUGGGGAUGUGGUUCAGUGGUUAAGAGCCCCUGGUUCAAUCUCCUUGGUACCAAUAAACAAAUAAAUAAAUAUGUGUAAAUAUAUAAAAUAUAUGUGUGUAUGU
rnacentral:lncRNA from 1 species